rnacentral:rRNA from 1 species
UACGUAGGGUGCGAGCGUUGUCCGGAAUUAUUGGGCGUAAAGGGCUCGUAGGCGGUUUGUCGCGUCGGGAGUGAAAACACCGGGCUUAACCUCGGUGCCUGCUUCGAUACGGGCAGACUGGAGGUAUGCAGGGGAGAACGGAAUUCCUGGUGUAGCGGUGAAAUGCGCAGAUAUCAGGAGGAACACCGGUGGCGAAGGCGGUUCUCUGGGCAUUACCUGACGCUGAGGAGCGAAAGUGUGGGGAGCGAACAGG